rnacentral:rRNA from 1 species
UACGUAGGGGGCUAGCGUUGUCCGGAAUCAUUAGGCGUAAAGCGCGCGUAGGCUGCCCGGUAAGUCCGCUGUAAAAGUCAAAGGCUCAACCUUUGAAAGCCGGUGGAUACUGUCGGGCUAGAGUCCGGAAGAGGCGAGUAGAAUUCCUGGUGUAGCGGUGGAAUGCGUAGAGAUCCGGAGGAACACCGAAGGCGCAAGCAGCACCCUGGCCGAGGACUGACACUGAGGGACGAAAGUAUGGGGAGCAAACAGG